AUUGAACGCUGGCGGCAGGCCUAACACAUGCAAGUCGAGCGGAUGAAGGGAGCUUGCUCCUGGAUUCAGCGGCGGACGGGUGAGUAAUGCCUAGGAAUCUGCCUGGUAGUGGGGGAUAACGUCCGGAAACGGGCGCUAAUAUCGCAUACGUCCUGAGGGAGAAAGUGGGGGAUCUUCGGACCUCACGCUAUCAGAUGAGCCUAGGUCGGAUUAGCUAGUUGGUGGGGUAAAGGCCUACCAAGGCGACGAUCCGUAACUGGUCUGAGAGGAUGAUCAGUCACACUGGAACUGAGACACGGUCCAGACUCCUACGGGAGGCAGCAGUGGGGAAUAUUGGACAAUGGGCGAAAGCCUGAUCCAGCCAUGCCGCGUGUGUGAAGAAGGUCUUCGGAUUGUAAAGCACUUUAAGUUGGGAGGAAGGGCAGUAAGUUAAUACCUUGCCGUUUUGACGUUACCAACAGAAUAAGCACCGGCUAACUUCGUG
rnacentral:rRNA from 1 species